AUUAAUUUAUACAUACAAAACCUACAAAGGAAAAAAUAACUUACUCAUGAUCACACAAUCACAUGAUCAAUUUGUACUUUCCUUGGGACUCACUCAUGAUCUGCUUCAUGAAUUAAAUUUAACAAAAAGUCACUUGAUACUUUUUCUAACCUCAAACCAGUAAGGGAUGCAAAUAUAUAAUGAGAAGACCAUUUAGCUAGAGCCUACUGUAUAGUAGACAAGUCAAUACAAAAACAAGUGACACUUUUGUGUCCUUUCACAGUGAAUACUACAACACAGUGUAAGGAAAAUGAUUUAGUCAUUCUUUUUUCUGCUAUAACUCAAAGAUCUGACAAGAAUAAUUGUAGAAGAGGAAAAGUUUAUUUGUAGGUUCACAGUUUCAGAGGUCUCAGUCCACAGACACCAGGCUCCAUUCCUCAGGGCUCAAGGUGAGGCUGAACAUCAUGGUGGAAGAGUGUGAUGGAAGAAAAUGGCUCACAUGAUGAUCAGGAAGAAGAAAGAGAGACUCCACUGACCAGAUACAAAAUGUAUAUCCCAAAGGCAUGCCCCCAGGGACCCACCUCCUCCAGUCAUAUCCUACCUACCUUCAGUUAUCACUCAAUUAAUCUCAUGGGGGAAUAAUUCACUGACUGGGUUAAGACUGUCAUAACCCAAUCAUUUAUCCUCUGAACCUUCUUGCAUUGUCUCAUGAGCUUUUGGGAGACACCUCACAUCGAAACCAUAACAGAAAAUGUACUACAAUGGUCAAAGAAUGUGUUACUUGAAUGAAAAUGUAAAUGGUAUUUAUUUGCUAGGUAUGUAAUUGAGGUAGUCUAGGAAAUAAGAAAGAACAUGCUUUUGAGAUACUUUAAAUAUACAUCAGAUUUGGAGAGACCAUGAGCAGAACUACAGAGGUAAAACUUUGGAACAUGUACAGAAAAGGAAAUAUGUUCACCUGUUUGUGAAAUAUGACUUGUGUGUAAAAGAGUAGUGGUGAGUAGACUUUAAAAUUAAAUGAAAGAUAAUGUUGUAUCUAAUUUAAUGCUUAAAGCUGUUUGGAGUUCAUGAAGUCAAUCACUUGCAUCUCUCCAAAUCUCUGGUUUCAUUACUAUAUUUAGAAAUUGGGCUCAGUAAAUCUACUUAUGAAUUCUAAUCUACUCAUUUGUUUUUUUCUUUAGAUUUUCACCUUAAUAUUU
rnacentral:lncRNA from 1 species